CCUACGGGUGGCAGCAGUGAGGAAUAUUGGUCAAUGGACGAGAGUCUGAACCAGCCAAGUAGCGUGAAGGAUGACUGCCCUAUGGGUUGUAAACUUCUUUUAUAUGGGAAUAAAAUGUUCCACGUGUGGGAUUUUGUAUGUACCCUAUGAAUAAGGAUCGGCUAACUCCGUGCCAGCAGCCGCGGUAAUACGGAGGAUCCGAGCGUUAUCCGGAUUUAUUGGGUUUAAAGGGAGCGUAGGGGGAUUGUUAAGUCAGUUGUGAAAGUUUGCGGCUCAACCGUAAAAUUGCAGUUGAAACUGGCAGUCGUGAGUACAGUAGAGGUGGGCGGAAUUCGUGGUGUAGCGGUGAAAUGCUUAGAUAUCACGAAGAACUCCGAUUGCGAAGGCAGCUCACUGGACUGCAACUGACACUGAGGCUCGAAAGUGUGGGUAUCGAACAGGAUUAGAUACCCGGGUAGUC
rnacentral:rRNA from 1 species